AAAUAAAGUGAGAGAAAAAAUCAACACAUUCUAGAUAAAAGAUAUAAUAAUACUGGAUAGUUAUAUAAUACUUUUAGUUAUAUAAUAUAUAAUACUUUCAAAGGUUAUUCUCCAAGUUUACGACUUGCUUUUUUGAAAAAUGAAAAAUGAUCGCCUUAGAUACUUUUCACUGUAUUCGUGGUAUAUAUUUUACCAACAAUCGACUUCGUUAACCGAAAUUCCUAUGGAACACACCAUGACAUCGACACAUUCAACGGAACAGUAUAAUUCGUGGAAACGUUACUCUAACAUCUGCUCGAACGCAGAUUACGAAUUGGUCAGAGCUAUAAAUGCCAGCAGAUGUUCUUGAUGACGAUGGUAGCUAACAAGCAGACAGGAAGUUGCCAACCGUUUAACCAUGGAUUAGUCAGCACAACCAACGUAGGCAGGUGUACAUUUUACAUCCGGAAAUGACUCGGUCAGCGAGUCUCUUCAUGAGAUAUAUUCGGAACUCUACCCCUUUUGUCCACCUACGCUUUGUAAUGUCGGUAUACAUCUCGGAUAGUAAGUAUUCGGGGACUGAUCGUGUUUCCAAGACGCCGCAACACGAUGACCCAGUUUCGACGUUAACACAGUACGCUCUUGGGUGAAUGGUCUCAUCGACGUCACUACUCCUGGAACUAGGUCACCAUAGGAUCCCCGUUCAUACCACCUGCAUCACUCAUCCCCUCUAUCAAUGAGAAGGUACUUGUUAGGAUGACGGCCAUUCAGAUAUCAAUAAUAUCGGCGCUUGUCCACGCAUGUAUCCGAGGGACGUUUCUGGCCUAGCAACCGAUUCGAAAUUAAACCGCGCCGUUAAUGCGACGAGAAGGGCUGGGAUAGAUGAGGGAUACGGGGAAGGAAGGGGGAAUGAGAGAGUGAGGGAGAAAGGGUGAGGAGAGGAGGGGACGAGAAGAGAAGGCACAGCAACAGCAUCCCUUCUGCGAUACCACGUUCGAGGGGAGACGCGCGCCGGUGCGAAGACGGAGAUCUUUGAAGGAGGGUGGGUAGUACUGGAGAAUGGCCGGAUAAUGGUGGGCAAGAGAGAGACAGAGGAAGGGAAAGAUGAAGAGAAGGAAAGAGAGAGAUAGAGAAAGAGAGAGAGAGAGAGAGAGAGAGAGAGAGAGAGAGAGAGAGAGAGAGAGAGAGACGUGAACGGAAAGCGGAAGCAACGGAGCCGCUCAAUGAAAGAGCUCUACCCCUGCAACGGAUGCGAAUGGGCUGGCGUCCCAUUGAAGGUACCUUGGAUAUUCGCAUUGCGUAUGCGCAGGGUUGACGUGUUUCUCUUUAUCGAGCAAAAGCCUUUCCCUCUCUCUCUCUCUCUCUCUCUCUCUCUCUCUCUCUCUCUCUCUCUCUCUCUCUCUCUCUGUCUCUGUUUCUCUGCACUAUUCUACUACAUCAUUUUUCCUUUAGCUAUUCUCCUCUCUACCACGAAAAAACAUCUUCACUAGAAAAGAUUCAUAUAUAUAUAUAUAUAUAUAUAUAUAUAUAUAUAUAUGGAAAGAGAGAGAAAGAGAGAGAGAGAUGUUUUGUACGUAUAUACAUGUUUUGUACAUAGAGAAACUUGUUCUCCUCUUCAUAUGUAAUCGUAUAUCUCUAAUCUCUUACGUAAGCAGAAAAACAAGAGGACGCACUCAUCUUCGAUAUUAAAUCUGUAAUGUAAUACAUAUGGAUAAAUGGACAACCGACAUGCAUUAUAAAUUUCUUUCCAACUUUACCUGAUAACGGUUUAAACCCACAAUGAUUGCUGAUCGUAUUUAUUUAAGAUCCGUUAGGAUUUCGAUCGAAUUAUAUUUUACUUGCCAAUUAGUAUUAGUAUAACAAUCUGAGGAUGUAUCUCAGCGUUAACGAAAAAAAAAAAAAAAAAAAAAAAAUAAUAAUAAUUUAGUGAAUCGUGUGAAGUUAAGUUCUCAUCCCCUCUCUCCCUCUCUCUCUUUCUCUCUCUCUUUCUGAUGUAAUUAAUUAGUCACUAAUUACUAACACUCCCAGACCCUGCCAUAUCUCUUACUCUCUUACUUUCUUUCUCUCUCUCUCUCUCUCUCUCUCUCUCUCUCUCUUUCUCUUUUUCUCUCUCUCUUUCUCGAUACUUUUUCUCUUUUCUCUCUUAUGAUAGUUACCAUAUAUCCGAAUAGCCGAAGAAAAAGGAGAAAAGGGCGGCUUAAUGAACGAAACCUUUGACGAGCCGUGGGCGUACUUCCGUUUUAACUUAAGCCACUCGGUCUCCCGCUGGUAGUAGACGGCCCCCUCCCCUUCCCUUCCCCCUCUGCCGCCCCCGCUAAACCCUCCCGCCCCGCGUUCCCUCGUUCUCUUGCUAUUUCGGCCGACUUACGUAAUGAUCGAGGCACUCGUGAUAACGAACGGAAUCAAUUUACGAAAAAAAAAAAGAUUACUUUUUAUGUCUCUUUGAACUUUCGUGAUAUAUCAAAGCCAUAUUCUUUUGGAUAGUUCUUUUUAAUAUUCGACAAAAGUCCGAUAAAAUUUUGUUGAAUUUAAUGAGAAAUUGAUAAUUAGAUUAUAAAGUAUCGUAUCUUGUAUGAAUUCAAUAAUUAAUUAAUGUCACAAAAAUUAUAUCGAAUCGAAUGAUAUUAAUUAAUUGUAUUUAAUUUCAUCGAUGAGUCCAAUCGAAUUUCAUUAAUUAAUUGAAACUGAUCUAAAUUGAA